rnacentral:rRNA from 1 species
UACGUAGGGUGCAAGCGUUGUCCGGAAUCAUUGGGCGUAAAGCGCACGUAGGCGGUUUGUUAUGUCGGAUGUGAAAGCCCUUGGCUCAACUGAGGAAGUGCAUCCGAAACUGGCAGCUAGAGUACUAAAGAGGGUCGCGGAAUUCCCGGUGUAGAGGUGAAAUUCGUAGAUAUCGGGAGGAACACCGGUGGCGAAGGCGGCGACCUGGGUAGAUACUGACGCUGAGGUGCGAAAGCGUGGGGAGCAAACAGGG